ensembl:lncRNA
GGGAUAUUUGGGGUUGUUUGCUUUCCGAUAUCAAGCAGAGAAUCUAAAAUGCAUAUUUAAAUUUGACAGGCAGCCCCGAUUGGAGAGGAGACAUUCUGGUCCGCUGGGCACAUUUAGACAUGAUUUUUGUGUGUAUUUCCAGAGGUUUUUUUCCCCAGCUGUCUCAAUGCAUAUUCACAUCUGGGACCAGAGUAGUCUCUGGGGGAAAUAACACGUUUUCAGUGAAGCAGAGGUUUCCUCUGCUGGCACAGCCGGGGAGAGGGGGCAGAGCAGCACAGAGUGAGGAGCAUCCCUGCUCCCACCAUGGGUGCUCCACCACCAGAGCAGCCUCCAUGGGGCAGAUCACAAAUUCACAGAGCUCUGUCUCCCUGCUCCUCCAGGUCUUGAGGACCAUCUUUCCCAACCCCAUCGUCCCACAAGCUGUGCACACACCCCCAAGGACCAUCCCACCCAGAAGUCCUGGGACCUCUGCACCUCUCUGCAGGGCUCUGACUUUGCAAGGAGCCCAAGUGAUGCCUGCUCACACUGGGAGGUGUAGGAGAGCAGAGUGGGAGCACUGGGAUGGGCAGGAAGGGGAGCAGGAGAGUCUGGAUAGGGAGCAGAAUGGUUGGCAGGGGCGGAAUGGGGAGCAGAAAGGUUUGGAUGAAAGGGAUGCUGAGAUGGGCACGAUGGGGAGCAAAAGGGUUGGUAGGAGCAGGAAGAGAGCAGAAGGGUUUGGAUGAAAGGGAUGCUGAGGUGGGCAGGAUGGGGAGCAGGAGCUCUGGGAUGGGCAGGAUGGGGAGCAGAAGGGUUUGGAUGAAAGGGAUGCUGAGGUGGGCAGGAUGGGGAGCAGGAGCUCUGGGAUGGGCAGGAUGGGGAGCAGAAGGGUUUGGAUGAAAGGGAUGCUGAGGUGGGCAGGAUGGGGAGCAGGAGCUCUGGGAUGGGCAGGAUGGGGAGCAGAAGGGUUUGGAUGAAAGGGAUGCUGAGGUGGGCAGGAUGGGGAGCAGGAGCUCUGGGAUGGGCAGGAUGGGGAGCAGAAGGGUUUGGAUGAAAGGGAUGCUGAGGUGGGCAGGAUGGGGAGCAGGAGCUCUGGGAUGGGCAGGAUGGGGAGCAGAAGGGUUUGGAUGAAAGGGAUGCUGAGGUGGGCAGGAUGGGGAGCAGGAGCUCUGGGAUGGGCAGGAUGGGGAGCAGAAGGGUUUGGAUGAAAGGGAUGCUGAGGUGGGCAGGAUGGGGAGCAGGAGCUCUGGGAUGGGCAGGAUGGGGAGCAGAAGGGUUUGGAUGAAAGGGAUGCUGAGGUGGGCAGGAUGGGGAGCAGGAGCUCUGGGAUGGGCAGGAAGGGCAGCAGAGGAAGGAAACAGAAAUUUCCCAAAGCAGCCGCUCCUGUGGGUUUCACCCCCGUGCCCUCUCCGCAGCGCCCGCCCCAGGCAGCCCCCCCAGCCUCCUCCCGCCGCACUCCCUCCUUCCUGUCCCCUCCCUCGGGGUGUGUGUGUGCUCUGCUGAAUGAAAGGCUACCCUUUUCUCCUUGACAUCUUGUUAGAAUGUGAAUACAACAGCUAUUGAUUUGCAUUUCGUGCAAGGAGAGAAAAAAAAAACCUAGCUUUUUUCUUUUUCUUUUUCUUUUUCUUUUUCUUUUUCUUUUUUUUUUUUGGGGGGGGGGGGGGGGGGGGGGGUUUUUUUAAAGGCUCUCUGAACUCAGAGCUCCUGCAGGAAUAAACAACCUGGAUGGGGCUUGGAGCAACCUGGUCUAGUGAGAAGUGUCCCUGCCCAUAGAUACCAACCCAAACCAUCCCGUGAUUCUGUAAAUGGAGCACCAACCACCCCCAGCUCUGCAGGGAGAGCACAAGGACCAUCCUCCCCAGGCACUUCUUCAUCAAAGGGCAAACACUUCGAGUUACCCCUGGCUGGGCCAGCAGCAUCCACCCAGCCCCGGGGGGAAGGCAAAUAAAAGAAUUAAGCUGGACACAAGGCAAGUAAAUGAGCAAGAAAAGCCAAGGGAGAAGCAGGCUGGGGCUGGGAGGAGACAGAGCAAGCAGCACUGCUCACCUCUUGAAGGUCCUGGCUUGCAGUGCCAUCACUCAGGCUCUUCCCACGCAGGUCCCCAACCAUUGUGACACACAGACACCAACUGUCCUGCUGCCCUUCCGUGGGGAGAGUGUCCCACUGCUGCAAACCAGGGCGAGCACACCCAGCAAGCAGGGGAGAAAUGAGGGUGCUGGCAUCAGUGGCUGAGGGCAAGCCGCGAUGCAUCACCUCCCCCAGCGGGUUGCUGGGGGGAUUAAUUAGUGUUUGCAAAGCACUUUGAAGAUAAAUGAGACUGUGGGAGAGCUCCUAACCAGGAGAGAGGGGGAGAUGGAGAUCUGGAACCCAGGUAUGGUGUGGUUUCUUAUCUGGAGUGCAAGCUGCAGCCCUGGCUGGGCUGGCACCACGCGGGUGCAGAUGAAAGGUGGAAUAGGAAAAUUUCCGCAGCAUGAAAAAAAAGAGAAAUCAUGCGCAUGCUGCUUGGGAAAAAUGAGUGAGAGAGAGAUGAAAAGAUGGGAUCUAAGUCUUUAAAAGCUGUAGAGACCUGCUAUUGAUUCUGGCUUGGGAAGAAGGGGGCUGAACAAGAGCUGGUGUGUUGUUAAGUGCACUUAUCUCCUCUUGUUAGAUGGCAGAACGGGGCCAGAUGGACAGGGCCCUAAUUCCCAUCAAGAAUCAUUACCCACGGCAUGCUGGAUGAGGCACCUCCAAAGAUGUGCUGUGAGCACUGGAAAACGUGGCAGCACCACGAGGUCGGGACCCCACAGUGUCCCUGGACAGCCCAUUCCAGUGCUGGAGCACCACUUCCCUGAAAC